CCUACGGGAGGCUGCAGUGGGGGAUAUUGGACAAUGGGGGGAACCCUGAUCCAGCGACGCCGCGUGAGUGAAGAAGUAUUUCGGUUUGUAAAGCUCUGUCAGCAGGGAAGAAAGAAAUGACGGUACCUGACCAAGAAGCCCCGGCUAACUACGUGCCAGCAGCCGCGGUAAUACGGAGGGGGCAAGCGUUAUCCGGAAUUACUGGGUGUAAAGGGUGCGUAGACGGUUAAGUAAGUCUGGAGUGAAAGGCCGGGGCCCAACCCCGGGACUGCGCGGGAAACUAUUGAACUUGAGUGCAGGAGAGGUAAGCGGAAGUCCUAGUGUAGCGGGGAAAUGCGUAGAGAUUAGGAGGAACACCAGUGGCGAAGGCGGCUUGCUGGACUGUAACUGACGUUGAGGCUCGAAAGCGUGGGGAGCAAACAGGAUUAGAUACCCCAGUAGUC
rnacentral:rRNA from 1 species